ensembl:lncRNA
UUUUUUUUUUUUUUUUUUUUAAUUUUAAACUCAACACUUUAAUGGAUGGAAAAUGGUCCGUCUAAAUAUUUCAAAGUUACUAAUCCUAAACCUAUGGUUUGGUUUCCGGUUCUCCGGGAGGCCUCACCCUCUCAAUGGGAAUGAGCGUCGCGUUGGUGUUGGAGUUGUUCGUCGCCCGCGUGAAGAACAAGAACGACGUGCCGUUAGAAGCGCAAACGAAAAGCAUGGUGGCUGCCUGAAACACAAAGAAAGUGGUGAAGAGACAAUAAAGCAACUGUUCCCACAAAGAUAAACUCCUGCAGUCGGCGUCUCGAAGGCUGGCAAUUAUCCAACGGUCCUAAGGGUGCCCAACUCGUCAGUCUGGUUCUUGGGUUUCACGUAAAAUGUUCCCGACGAUGAAGCAUUUCUGCACCCCUCCUCCCUAGUGAACAUGUGGGACUAUCCAAGGUUAAACCACCACGCUUUGCUUAGAAAAAGCAUUUAGAGAUGUUGCAGUGAAUAAUUUCUCAUUUCAUAACCCUUCCGAGAGCUGAAAGUCAGUGACCUUAAAAAAAUUGUAAGAAACAAAUUAUUUAAAAUUUUAAUAUUAAGUAUCAAGCUGUAUCAUUUGAGUCAUAAUAGCAGCCGCUAAGCACUUGUGUGACAAAUAUUAUAUCACACACGUCUCGAUUCACGGCAGAGAGAAAAUGGAGCCGUCUGUCGCCCCAAAUGAGCAAAGACACAUAACGUUCUUUACAGCGGCCGUCUGUUUGACUACUCGGGUCCUUAUCAAACAAAUAUUGCGUUAAGUCAAUAAAUGCCACAUGGUCAUAUUUUACAGGUGGUUUUACGUCCUGCUGGGAAUCAGGGCUUGAGGGCGGUGCAGAAAAAAAACGAGGGCCGCAUUAAAACGAAAUUUAUUUCUGACAGGCGUAAUUUUGCGUUGGUUACCUCUGAGGCGCUCAGGGACAGCGUGGUGCCAUUGGGCAGCACGGGGAGGACAGCGGCCGCGGACCCAAACAGGCAGGGGCCGGUUCCUGUGGGGUCGCAGCUGUCUGGCGCCGACAGACACAGUUUGUUGCUUCCGCAACUUGUUCGAGUGAUGUUUACCUGGUAGACAAAACGCACACAAACAGAAAUGAGCGCCAGUGAUCAUUCGACUCGCAUUGGACGAACAGUGUUAUGAGGCGGUUUGGUAUUUUUGGUAUGUCAGGUGCAUGAUGGGAAGUGUAGGAUCCAGAGUUUAGGAACCUGGCCCCAAAUUGUCGCUGAACCAGAUUGGGCUCGUUAAAAGGUUUUUGUUUUCAAAGUCGUGCACUGAACGACGGGACGACUUCUGCUUCCUAAAUGUCGAUGUGCAACACAAAACUUCCUCAAAAAGUCCAAAUACAGGAAGUUUGACAGGUGACGCAGUAGUGAUUUAAAGUUCUGGGGAAGCUAAAGAUAAACACCUUUACGCUUACUUAUUUUUUCUGAACACAAUUUAAUUUUAAAAAUUGUGUUAUUUGGAAACUGGCCCUCAAACAAAUUGUUUAAAAUUGCAAAAAAAAAAAAAAAAAAGGUCAAGAAGCUGUGAUGAUUCACACAGAGGGGAAUAAAGUGAAAGAUAUCCAACCUGCGUGUUGUUGGAAAACUUCAGAUGAUUCGUUCCUUGGACAGCCGGUGACGCAUAGAGGACCAGCGCCGCGAUCAGGAUGAAUCCACGUUCCAUUCUUCAAACAAAGCUGACCAACAAUCGGAAACACAGGACGCGUAGUAAAAUGUCUGGUCAGACUGUAGUUUAAGUUGGAACAUCAAUCACAGCCGUGCAAAGUGUUUGCAUUUCAAUUAAGCACAAUUACGAAGAAUCGAAAAUCAAUACUUCAAUUGCCAAAUUUAAAAAAGGGAAAACGUACGUGUUUUAUGCAAAAGUCUUUAAAAUCAAUACAGCAAAAUAGAUUUGAUUUUCAAGUCCUCCGACCCUCAAUUAAGUAUAAAUGAGGCGCUGCUGAAGGAAGAGAGACUCACCUGCGCUGUGGGCGUGAGAGGUGAGCGGGUUCCGUGUCUCUGCUCGUCUGAAUGAGUUCGAUCUCCGCAGGGCGACUUAAAUCCGAGGUCAGAGCCCACAGGUGGUGUUGACGGAGGAGGAGGGGGAGGGACUUCCUGCCGCUUCCCGGCGAAGGUGUGGCUUUUCAAAAAUUUUUACCUGGUGUGAGGGAAGUCAAUGAAGCGGACAAAGCACAUCCUUUAUGAACUAGUUCUGUGGUCCAACGUCGUUUAAACGUUAACCAUCGACCCUUUAUCCUCUUUAAAAAGUUUGAUUUAUCUCAAAAUAAAAAGUGAAUAUAUUUCAAGUUAAACAUGAAGUCAGAUGUUUUAAGCUUUCAUUUAACUCCCGCCAAGGUUCGGUGUAUCUGUACAGACACCAGAGCCUAUUUGAAUUGUGAACAAGUGCAUUAGAUUAUAAAUAAAAAGAUCAAAUAGAACACAAAUAUAGUUGUGAGAGAAGUGUU